GACGAACGCUGGCGGCGUGCUUAACACAUGCAAGUCGAACGGAAAGGCCCUGCUUUUGUGGGGUGCUCGAGUGGCGAACGGGUGAGUAGCACGUGAGUAACCUGCCCUUGACUUUGGGAUAACUUCAGGAAACUGGGGCUAAUACCGGAUAGGAGCUCCUGCUGCAUGGUGGGGGUUGGAAAGUUUCGGCGGUUGGGGAUGGACUCGCGGCUUAUCCGCCUGUUGGUGGGGUAGUGGCUUACCAAGGCUUUGACGGGUAGCCGGCCUGCGAGGGUGACCGGCCACAUUGGGACUGAGAUACGGCCCAGACUCCUACGGGAGGCAGCAGUGGGGAAUGUUGCACAAUGGGCGGAAGCCUGAUGCAGCAACGCCGCGUGCGGGAUGACGGCCUUCGGGUUGGAAGCCGCUUUGGCCGGUGAGGAAGCGUGAGUGACGGUAAUGGGUAAAGAAGCACCGGCUAACUACGUG
rnacentral:rRNA from 1 species